rnacentral:sRNA from 1 species
UUCCGUAGGUGAACCUGCGGAGGGAUCAUUACAAGAACGCCCGGGCUACGGCCUGGUUAUUCAUAACCCUUUGUUGUCCGACUCUGUUGCCUCCGGGGCGACCCUGCCUUCGGGCGGGGGCUCCGGGUGGACACUUCAAACUCUUGCGUAACUUUGCAGUCUGAGUAAACUUAAUUAAUAAAUUAAAACUUUUAACAACGGAUCUCUUGGUUCUGGCAUCGAUGAAGAACGCAGCGAAAUGCGAUAAGUAAUGUGAAUUGCAGAAUUCAGUGAAUCAUCGAAUCUUUGAACGCACAUUGCGCCCCCUGGUAUUCCGGGGGGCAUGCCUGUUCGAGCGUCAUUUCACCACUCAAGCCUCGCUUGGUAUUGGGCAACGCGGUCCGCCGCGUGCCUCAAAUCGUCCGGCUGGGUCUUCUGUCCCCUAAGCGUUGUGGAAACUAUUCGCUAAAGGGUGUUCGGGAGGCUACGCCGUAAAACAACCCCAUUUCUAAGGUGACCUCGGAUCAGGUAGG